rnacentral:rRNA from 1 species
UACGGGAGGUGCAAGCGUUGUUCGGAAUCACUGGGCGUAAAGGGCGUGUAGGCGGUCCGCUAAGUCUGAUGUGAAAGCCCGGGGCUCAACCCGGGAACUGCGUCCGAUACUGGAAGGCUUGAAUCCGGGAGAGGGAUGUGGAAUUCCAGGUGUAGCGGUGAAAUGCGUAGAUAUCUGGAGGAACACCGGUGGCGAAGGCGGGUCUCUGGGCCGAUACUGACGCUGAGGAGCGAAAGCGUGGGGAGCAAACAGG